rnacentral:rRNA from 1 species
GACGAACGCUGGCGGCGUGCUUAACACAUGCAAGUCGAACGGUAAGGCCCUUCGGGGUACACGAGUGGCGAACGGGUGAGUAACACGUGGGUGAUCUGCCCUGCACUUCGGGAUAAGCCUGGGAAACUGGGUCUAAUACCGGAUAGGACUCCUGGCUUCAUGGUUGGGGGUGUAAAGCUUUUGCGGUGUGGGAUGGGCCCGCGGCCUAUCAGCUUGUUGGUGGGGUAAUGGCCUACCAAGGCGACGACGGGUAGCCGGCCUGAGAGGGUGACCGGCCACACUGGGACUGAGAUACGGCCCAGACUCCUACGGGAGGCAGCAGUGGGGAAUAUUGCACAAUGGGCGCAAGCCUGAUGCAGCGACGCCGCGUGAGGGAUGACGGCCUUGGUUGUAACCUCUUUCAAUAGGGACGAAGCGC